rnacentral:rRNA from 1 species
GACGGAGGAUGCAAGUGUUAUCCGGAAUCACUGGGCGUAAAGCGUCUGUAGGUGGUUUAAUAAGUCAACUGUUAAAUCUUGAGGCUCAACCUCAAAAUCGCAGUCGAAACUAUUAGGCUAGAGUAUAGUAGGGGUAAAGGGAAUUUCCAGUGGAGCGGUGAAAUGCGUAGAGAUUGGAAAGAACACCAGUGGCGAAGGCGACUUACUGGACACAUAUUGACGCUGAGGUGCGAAAGCGUGGGGAGCAAACAGG